rfam:Streptomyces sp. 769, complete genome.
CUUGAUCGAGCCGAGCAGCAGCGGGUUCUCGGGGUCGCGGUCACGCCCGUAGGUGGCCAGGAGCGCCUGGGCCUC